UUGAGUUCUUGGGAGAGAGCCAGUGAGGUCUUUGAGACGAGAGCAGAUGGGAAACCUAUGAGGAGGGAGUGGUGACCCGUGUUAUCGUGAGGCUCAGAUUCGCACCCUCUAGCAUUUUCUUGAGAAAACACCACUAAUCCAACCAGAGUAGGUCAUGUCAAGUAUAUGCGCUCACAUUCAGGCAGGCCACAAGGACCUACACACACACACACACACACACACCAGCGCACGCAAACGCACACACACGGGUUCUACACUACACAAGCCCACACACAGCUUACUCAUAGCUUUGGCAAAGGUGCACAGGCUUCUCAAGCUUUGGCAAAAUGAUAUGCACAGGCAUGAAAAGAUGGAGGGAGGGGGAAGAGUUGCAGAGAGGAGGAGGAGAAUUUAUCAAAGGAUCAUUUUUGCAACAUCUGGGCCCACAAUCAGCAUCCCCCUCCCUUCUAAUUAACUUCCCUGCAUCCUCAUUUGCACCCUGCAUCCUGUCCUUUUCCAUCUUGUGCCUUUCUUUCCAGUAGAUUCCCCUCUUUCUGCGCACCGUUUCCUCACAGAAUCCUCUUCUUUUUACGCACGGCAGGAAGAGACACGUCUCCCCCCAACUCCCACUCCCCCAGUUUGUGUUUAAUGGAAGCAAAUGCAAAACACACACACACACACAUAGCCGUACACACAUGCAGACACUUCAAGAAGACGCAGUAAUGCAUGCACACAUGGCUUGAUGCAAGGUUGGAUUCUAAUGCCAUCGUCAUGGUAACACUCCCUCGCUUCUUUGUUUGCACAAACGAACGGCGCACACAUCCCAGGAAUCUGUGAGGAUUCUUAUGUAACUACACAACCCCACGCACAAAUAAGAGAGACACACAGAAAGACGGAGAGAGGCAGAUAGACAGACGGGAAUGAGUCAGUGCUACAGCACAUAUUGAGAGCAUCUGCCAUCAACGUUACCUUUCACUAUGACAAGAACAGUAUGUACCGCUGUGUUACUUCAGGCUCAUUAUAACCCACAUUCCAGCUAACACACACACACAAAUACACACACACACACACACGCACAUCAGAGGCAUCUUCAGCGUGAAGGAAGAUGUGGGGAAUAUAGCUGUUCGUCUAGUUACGGCAACACCACUGAGGCAUCAGCAUACUAAUUACUUUGUUGCCUCCGUGAGGGCGCCUGUGGCUUUUAGGUGAGAGGGGAGUCGGGGCGCUGGACAAAUGAGAGCGGGGUCAGCAGGCGUAUCACUACAGAUGUUAUGAAAGGAGCUGUAAUUCGUUCAUGGUGGCAGAAAAUUGUGUCGGAAACAGAAGGGAGAGAUAACGCCUUGCGCUGGCCUUUUCUUCUUUUUUUUUUUUUCCCUUUCCGUCGCGGUGUAUUGAUUGGAGUGUGGUGGAAUGAGCAAAGGGCAAGUGUGAAAGCAUAUGCCAUUCAGGAGGAGAAGGAGCAUUUCAGGAUGUCAUGUCAUACCUACUCUGCUAUUUAUCUUGGUGGCUGUGUGGAGAUAACGUUCCGCAUUUUGUGCCGACGACGACGAUGAUGCUGCGGAGCCCGCCCGCCCGCCCGCCCAGACGUACGCAGUCAUCCAACGUUGUGUCAGGAGUUUUGGGUGUUUGUUUUUUUUUUUUCUUCUCUUUAAUCCUAAUGCUUUCAGUGGGACAUUUAUUAAUCUCUCUGUUUCAAAAGGAGAGCGACAAAGCCUUUCAGGUGAAUAAGCGAGGGAUUCCUCCGAGGGUAUCUCCACACACCCGCUCGACGAUUAGCCGAGACAAGGCAGCAAAGCUCGCGGUUUUGUUGCCAACGCUGCAGAAGGUUGCACAAAGACGAGGCCCUGUUUCCCAUCCCUCACUCCCGACCUCUUCUGCUUCCAUAUUGCUUUUCAGCUUGUUAUCAGGUGUCGGUUUUGCCUACAGACGGCAUAUGAGAAGCUAUGUUAGUCAUUUUUGAGGCGCAUGCCAUCAUCCACCCAAAUGUCCUUUACUGUGUUCAGCAUAACAAGAUGGUGACCCACCGCCUCACUGGUCCGUAGUUCUUUUCUUCAUAAGCUAUCAAAAUAAAAAAUAAAAAAACUGGAGCACCCGGCGUGUGUUUGUGUGUUUGCCACUUGGUUAAAAGUGCGCGCGCGUUGAGAGCGUUUUCUGACUUUGAUCCUAAUGAAAGAUUUAUUCUCUCCUCCGCCGAUGUCUUGGCUGGCUUUACUAAACCAGCAUCUCUAAAUGCCGACCUUGUCACUUCAGCAUGUUGGCAGGCCAACCUCUUUGUUUGAUCUCUUGUUUCAAAGGCCCUGAAACACAAGCUGACACAGCCGAAGGAGGCGAGGCGAUUCAUUAAGAGUGCAUCCAACGGAGCUCGGUCUGCAGCGACAUGCUUGGGCUGAUUGCUGUAGAUCGUUUAUAUCUCAUUUCUUUGCUUGUUUGUCUAAUCUGUAAAUGUACUCGGAUUGCUCAACAAAUGUAUACACUCA